CAUAAUUGUGAUCUGGUCACCCCGAGGCGGCCUCCCUCUCCCCCUUUGCCCGGCUUGGCUCUUUUCUCUGCUGUUUCUAUUACACUCUGGUGUCCGUGUGUCUUUCUUCCCUUCUCUGCCUCUUCUGCUUGGUCAUUUCUGCCCAUCUUAUUCUCUUCUCUUCCUGGUCCCCUUUGUCCUGCCAUUACUGCCUGGCUUUCCCUGUGUCCCCACCUGUCUGCCUGUCCUGGAACUCCUCACUUGGACUCACCUACCAGUGGCGCUUGAGGCUACAAGCCUAAGGUAAGCCGGGUGCCCUCAGGAGCACCCUGAGUCGGGGGAGUGCAUCUGGGGGGCUGGCUGGGCACUGCUCUGAUCUCCUCCCCCUUUUCAGUAUCUCCAGCUCAAGAAGAAGCUAGAAGAUGAGUUCCCCGGAUGCCUGGACAUUGUGAGUCUCGGGGAUGUGGACGUGGAGCCAGUCGGGCCCCUCGUCUGUCUGAGGGUCUGGUGGUGGUGGAGGUGGCUUAGCCCCACAGCCUUUACCCUCACCCCACACUUCCUGGGAAGGGGAAGCGUUUCCAAGAGGGCAUCCCAGCGCCAAUCUGUCCUCCCUGCUUAGUGCGGCGAGGGGACUCCCCAGGUCACCGGGUUCUUUGAAGUGAUGGUAGCCGGGAAGCUGGUUCACUCCAAGAAGGUAUAUCUCUGUGUGUGUCUUGUUUGGGGGUCAAGUAGGACUGGGGCGGAGGCUGGUGUGUGGGUCCAAGCUUGACCCUUUCUCUCUUUCCCCUCCCCAGAGAGGUGAUGGCUAUGUGGACACGGAGAGCAAGUUUCUGAAGCUGGUGGCUGCCAUCAAAGCCGCCUUGGCUCAGGGCUAGAGUGCCCUGAAGGCAGAGGUGAGGGGCCCAGGCAGGCGCUGACCUGGGACCAGUCUGGGAGAUGGGGGCAUCCAGGUGUCCCCGGGGCAGGAGGAGUGGAAACAAGGUCUGGGUGGUGCAGGAUGACUCCUGAGCUGGCAGUAAGCUGAGGGCUGCCCUCAGCAGCUCUCCUGGCUUUGGAAUAGAAGGUACUAAAGAGACACUCUGGAUUUUGUCCCUUUGCCAGGAAACAGUGACUAUCUGUGACUGUCAGCCCAGGUUACAGGCACAUUUGGAAACACAGCUCCUGUGCUCAGUAUUUUCAACCUGAUCACCAGUUAUCAGACACUGAACUUGAGACUUUUCCAGAGUGGGCCCACAAACACUUUAAGAAACUAACUGACAAAGAAUGUUCAAGAAACUGACACUAACUCUAGAACUGAUCACCUGCCCCAGAAGGGACUCCCUUCUUCCCCAGAGCAAUGUAGAAUCAAAUUCAGAACCAGCUGUCAGCAUACCCUGAACCCAGGCACCCCUUCCCACACCUGCACGGAACUGUGCAGACCAGCUCCCAAACUGCAGAACUGAUAUCUAGUUCCCUAUGUCCUCUGAGCCAGGUAGUUCCUUCCAGCCCAGCGCGUUCUAGAACACAUAGCCAUUUCCAUAACCCUCUGGAACAUGGACUGCUUUCCAGAGCCCUCUUGAGUUUGGUUUCAGUUUCCUCAAGUACAUUCCAGAUGAGUUCCAAACCCCUUCUCAUCUAGGACUGGGCACUACUCACCCGCGCAGACCAGGGCUAAGUUCUGGUUUUGGGGACAGUCCUUCCUUGACCCGCCUAUACUAGAGAUUGAGCUCAGGGCUGCUUUACCACAGAGCUUCAGCCUCAGCCUUUGAUUUCAAGACAGGGUCUGGCCAAGUUGCCAAGCCUGGCCUUGAACCUGCGAUCCUUCCCCCAAGUCACAGGGAUUGCGGGUGUGCACCACCUUCCUGCUCCAGAGCAGUGAGGCCACUCUGAAUUUGGACAUGCAGAUCUAAAGUAGUGACUACAGAAGGACAGUGGCAUCCUCCCUCCUGUGUGGGUCUGACAUGAAGCACCCCCACCCCCAAAUUGGAAACGAAUUUCUUGGUUCCACAGUGGCUGAGGGACGGUGGGUGGUGCCACGCAGUGGGAUUUGACUUGAACUCUGUGGAGUGAGCAGCUCUGUCUAAACCCCCCUCCAGUCAGUACUGGCAGAGGCUCCCUUGGAUUCCAGGGGGUGAGUCAAUAGAUGACGUCAUCUCCCAUAAAGGAAAGUGGGUUUGCAUAAGGAAGAAAUGGGGGGGAGACAAGUCUGUGAAGAGUGACUGUUUUUGUUUGUUUUGGUGCUUGGGGGUGGAACCCAGGGCCUGCCACCUGCUGAGCACAUGCCCUGCCCCAGGGCCACUGCCUGCCCCUGUUUGGUAGUGCUGUGGCUCUAGUUUUCAGGACCCUUGGAAGGAUUCAGAAGAACUCCAGCAGCUGUUCUGCAUGGUUCCAGGUUACCUAGGGGGGGGCAGAGGGUAGGGGUCACCAGGCAGGAGCUUGUGCCCUGUCCCCCAGACAGAUGCAGGCUGAUUGUGCCAGCUGCCAUGUUGACGAGAGGGGUGAAAACACUCCCCAGUUCUUGCGCUGGAGGGGCUCGCUGGCACCAUCGCGUCCCAGAUUUUUACUGGGGACUGGGCAUACACAGGGCUGGCCUUGUCUCCAGGCCCUCCAGAAUUUAAGCUGAGGCCACACUCCCAGAGCCCGCGACAGCAGCAGUGUUAGCACAGGUGGCUGUGGUUGAGGCAGAGUGAACCAGGGUGCCAGGCAGGCCAUCCCGAGGACUUCGGUACUUCCUCCCAGGAGCCAGGCUCUUGGGGCAAGGUGGUUCCUGCUGCACGUGGUGUGGCCGUCAGCUGGUGAAGAGCAGUAAAGUCUGUCAGGGUGGCACUGGCCUGUGAUCCCAGCGAGACUGAGGCAAGAGGGUUGCAUGUUCGAGGCCCGCCUCAGCAACUUGGCAAGAUCUUGUUUGAAAAUAAAAAAUGAGAAAAAGAAGGGCAGGGGGUGCGGGGAUAGGAGUUGGCUCAGUGGUAGAGUGCCCCUGGGUGCAAUCCCCAGGACCAAAGCAAAACUCCCCCUGAAUCUGUGUGUUAACCAGGUGGUGCACACCCGCAAUCCCAGCAAUUCAGGAGGCUGAGGCAGGAGAACCACAAGUUCGAGGCCAGCCUCAGCAAUGUGGCAAGACCCCUGUCUCAAAGACUAAAAGGGGCUGGGGAUGUGGCUCAGUGGUAAAGCACUCCUGGGUCCAUUUCCCAGUAUCAAGAAACAACCCCACGUGUGAGUUGCGGUGGGCUCUGGAGACGGGGUUUGGCUCUGGGCCACCAGGCUUUCUGUAGGCCAGCAGGUGGCUGCCCAUCACCUCUCUGCAGGCUCAGUGAGAGCUGGCCCUCAGCGGGUCCCUCCCUGUGCACCCUGUUUCCCUGGGCCUGCAGCUCUGUGUACCCUUGUCACACUGACCUGGGCCCAACCUGCUCCCCCCUCCCCCUCUUCUCUCCACAGUCCAGGGACCUUGGCCCAGGCCCGCUCAGCAGACGCUCUAUGACAGGAAGGACUGAAAUGUCUCCGGGACGCCUGGUCUUUUCUCGAUGUCCUUGCAGCCUCUGGGUCGGGGCUGAGUCGACGUCCCUGGUCUUUGCCUCUGCGUGGGGUGAGGUGUUUCCUCCAGAAGCCACGCCCACACAGGUGGUCUCAAGCCUGUCAUGGGGUCACCAAGAGAGCCCACACUUCCCUGCCCCCGCAUUGCCCUGCACCCCCCACCUCCCCUCUGUUCCUGGAGGAGGCCUGUCCCUCGCCUUCCUCAAGGGAAGCUGGGGGGCCGGGUGGGUGCAGCCGUUCCCAGGCCAAUAAACAGUGGGUGAAUCC
rnacentral:lncRNA from 1 species